ensembl:misc_RNA Y_RNA Y RNA
GGCUGGUCCAAGUGCAGUGGUGUUUACAAAGAAUUGAUCACAACCACUUACACAUUUCAGCAUUCCUUCCCCACUCCACUGCCUUGCUUGACUAGCCUAAA